rnacentral:rRNA from 1 species
UACGUAGGGUGCGAGCGUUGUCCGGAAUCACUGGGCGUAAAGCGCACGUAGGCGGAUCUUUAAGUCAGGGGUGAAAUCCCAAGGCUCAACCUUGGAACUGCCUUUGAUACUGGGGAUCUCGAGUCCGGAAGAGGUUGGUGGAACUCCGAGUGUAGAGGUGAAAUUCGUAGAUAUUCGGAAGAACACCAGUGGCGAAGGCGGCCAACUGGUCCGGCACUGACGCUGAGGCUGCGAAGCGUGGGAGCAAACAGG